UACGUAGGUGGCAAGCGUUGUCCGGAUUUACUGGGCGUAAAGAGCGCGCAGGCGGUCGUUCAAGUCGCGUGUGAAAGCCCCCGGCUCAACUGGGGAGGGUCACGCGAUACUGAUCGACUCGAAGGCAGGAGAGGGAAGUGGAAUUCCCGGUGUAGUGGUGAAAUGCGUAGAUAUCGGGAGGAACACCAGUGGCGAAGGCGACUUCCUGGCCUGUUCUUGACGCUGAGGCGCGAAAGCUAGUGGAGCAAACGGG
rnacentral:rRNA from 1 species